rnacentral:rRNA from 1 species
ACAGAGGGUGCGAGCGUUAAUCGGAAUUACUGGGCGUAAAGCGCGCGUAGGCGGUUUUGUAAGUCGGGUGUGAAAUCCCCAAGCUUAACUUGGGAACUGCAUUCGAGACUGCAUAGCUAGAGUAUGGGAGAGAGAAGUGGAAUUUCCGGUGUAGCGGUGAAAUGCGUAGAUAUCGGAAGGAACAUCAGUGGCGAAAGCGACUUCUUGGACCAAUACUGACGCUCAAGUGCGAAAGCGUGGGGAGCAAACAGGA